GACGAACGCUGGCGGCGUGCUUAACACAUGCAAGUCGAACGGUUAAGGGAUCAGCUUGCUGGUUCUUGAUGAGUGGCGAACGGGUGAGUAACACGUGAGUAACCUGCCCCCUUCUUCUGGAUAACCACAUGAAAGUGUGGCUAAUCCGGGAUAUUCUGCGCCUGCUGCAUGGUGGUUGUGGGAAAGAUAUUGUUUCGGUUGGGGAUGGGCUCGCGGCCUAUGAGCUUGUUGGUGGGGUGAUGGCCUACCAUGGCGGGGACGAGUAGCCGGCCUGAGAGGGGGGACGGUGAGAGUGGGACUGAGAAAAGGGGCAGACACCUACGGGAGGCAGCAGUGGGGAAUAUUGCAGAAGGGGCGAAAGCCUGAUGCAGCGAAGCCGCGUGAGGGAUGGAGGCGUUCGGGUUGUGAGCCUCUGUCGCCAGUGAAGCAGGCCUGUCCCUUGUGGGUGGGGUGACGGUAGCUGGAUAAGAAGCGCCGGCUAACUACGUG
rnacentral:rRNA from 1 species